rnacentral:ribozyme from 1 species
UGACUAUCAGUCGUAGCCGUGUUGAAUAGGACAUCUAAGCUCUCUUGGUAUAAUUGUCCAUCUUGAGGCAACCGAGACUUUAUCUCGAUCUUAUGAUCGGCACUCUUUUUGAAAAAAGACAAUGUGACAAAAAUAAGAAGAGAAAAGAGACAGAGAUAGAGAGAAAUAGCAAAUUAUAUAAAUUAGAUCAUGAAAAUAGUAAGAAAUAGAGAUA